AUGAACGCUGGCGGCGUGCUUAACACAUGCAAGUCGAACGAAGCAAUUUAGCGGAAGUUUUCGGAUGGAAGUUAAAUUGACUGAGUGGCGGACGGGUGAGUAACGCGUGGGUAACCUGCCUCACACUGGGGGACAACAGUUAGAAAUGACUGCUAAUACCGCAUAAGCGCACAGGACCGCAUGGUCCGGUGUGAAAAACUCCGGUGGUGUGAGAUGGACCCGCGUUUGAUUAGCUGGUUGGUGGGGUAACGGCCUACCAAGGCGACGAUCAAUAGCCGACCUGAGAGGGUGACCGGCCACAUUGGGACUGAGACACGGCCCAAACUCCUACGGGAGGCAGCAGUGGGGAAUAUUGCACAAUGGGGGGAACCCUGAUGCAGCGACGCCGCGUGAGUGAAGAAGUAUUUCGGUAUGUAAAGCUCUAUCAGCAGGGAAGAAAAUGACGGUACCUGACUAAGAAGCCCCGGCUAACUACGUGCCAGCAGCCGCGGUAAUACGUAGGGGGCAAGCGUUAUCCGGAUUUACUGGGUGUAAAGGGAGCGUAGACGGUAAAGCAAGUCUGAAGUGAAAGCCCGGGGCUCAACCCCGGGACUGCUUUGGAAACUGUUUAACUAGAGUGCUGGAGAGGUAAGCGGAAUUCCUAGUGUAGCGGUGAAAUGCGUAGAUAUUAGGAGGAACACCAGUGGCGAAGGCGGCUUACUGGACAGUAACUGACGUUGAGGCUCGAAAGCGUGGGGAGCAAACAGGAUUAGAUACCCUGGUAGUCCACGCCGUAAACGAUGAGUACUAAGUGUUGGGAGUCAAAUCUCAGUGCUGCAGUUAACGCAAUAAGUACUCCGCCUGAGUAGUACGUUCGCAAGAAUGAAACUCAAAGGAAUUGACGGGGGCCCGCACAAGCGGUGGAGCAUGUGGUUUAAUUCGAAGCAACGCGAAGAACCUUACCAAAUCUUGACAUCCCUCUGACCGGCGAGUAAUGUCGCCUUUCCUUCGGGACAGAGGAGACAGGUGGUGCAUGGUUGUCGUCAGCUCGUGUCGUGAGAUGUUGGGUUAAGUCCCGCAACGAGCGCAACCCUUAUCCUAAGUAGCCAGCGGUUUGGCCGGGCACUCUUGGGAGACUGCCAGGGAUAACCUGGAGGAAGGUGGGGAUGACGUCAAAUCAUCAUGCCCCUUAUGAUUUGGGCUACACACGUGCUACAAUGGCGUAAACAAAGAGAGGCGAGACCGCGAGGUGGAGCAAAUCUCAAAAAUAACGUCUCAGUUCGGACUGCAGGCUGCAACUCGCCUGCACGAAGCUGGAAUCGCUAGUAAUCGCGAAUCAGAAUGUCGCGGUGAAUACGUUCCCGGGUCUUGUACACACCGCCCGUCACACCAUGGGAGUCAGUAAUGCCCGAAGUCAGUGACCCAACCGAAAGGAGGGAGCUGCCGAAGGCAGGACCGAUAACUGGGGUG
rnacentral:rRNA from 1 species